rnacentral:rRNA from 1 species
AAUACGUUCCCGGGCCUUGUACACACCGCCCGUCACAUCACGAAAGUGGAUUGUACUAGAAGUCCGUAUAACCGGCCCAAGGUAUGAUUCAUGAUUGGGGUG